CUUUUUCAUGCUGCUCUCUGCAGUGUGCGUAAUGCUGAAUUUGGCUGGUUCAAUUCUCUCCUGUCAGAAUGCUCAGCUAGUCAACUCCCUAGAAGGCUGUCAGUUGAUACUGGAUCUGAAAAAUCUCAAGAACCCUGUGAAAAUAGAUUAAGUUUGACAGUGUCGGGGUGUGUGUCUGCUGUGAAAUGCAGCACCAGUCAUCCGGCUGCAGCAACCUUGGGGAGACGCUGAAGCUGAAUCCGCUGCAGGAGGACUGCAACGCCGUGAGGCUGACGUUGAAGGUGAUGGCCAAGGGCACUGCUUAUUCAUGCAUUCCAUCCCAUGCAUUUACAGACAUUUUAGGAGGGCUUUACUCAUGUAUCUAUUCCUUCCACUUCUUAAUUCAUCUCUGUAGCUGAAAUGCAAGAGGGAAUAUCUUUCCGGAGAACAUUUUAUAGGAUUAUAGAUUUUCACUUUAAAGGUGUUGCUUUCUGGAUCUCGUUUUCCAUUUUUACCAUUUCACUUUCCUGCCUCUGACAUAUGUGGAGUAGGAUAUGAAUGGUUGAAACAGGUCUUUACAAAUGUGGAUGUGAUGCAUUCUACUGCUUUUCUAACAUUUUGCUGGUACACCAUCAGGGAACAGAUGGGCAUUUAUUUUGCCUUUUUUAAAGAUAUUUGGAGAAAGACAUUUUACAAUUUCCCACAGCAAUCUAUUCUUGUGUACAGCAUCUGAUUUUUUUAAAUGACAUGGA